AAAAUUAAAAAUAUAUAUAUCAUUUAAAUAAAUUAUCACUCAUCAUUAAAAUAAGUUAAAAUUCGUAUUAAUAUCAAAUAUAUUUAUAAAAUGAAAAAAUAUAUGCACGGACGUGCGGGUCAAAAUCUAGUUAAUAAUUAAUUUAUAGUUAGUUUAAUAAAAAAUUAUAUAUUUAGAUGAAUCAAUUCAUUUCUCUAAAGAUUUUAAAAAUCAUUGUGGUGAUGAUAUAUUGUUACCUCAACUGUUGUAACACUUUUUUUUUAAUAUAUAGGGGAUUACGAGGCUUCCAUCUUUGACAAAUAAUUCUCACUACUCAAAUUCCAGUCAUAAGACUAAAAACACAGAGAACAUUUACACAAUCCAUGAAAGUGAACAUUUUAGUCAAACAGUUCUAUUCUAUUACAGGCGUUUAUGGAAGAAACGUCAAAAGAAUUUAAGAUUCCACAGUACAUACAUUCUAGUGCUUGUACUUGUACAAUUCCCAGAUUCACAAUGAAAACAAUCCGUAGAGAGGAUAAACCAGUAGAUCAUAACCCUUAGAGCCUAUAAGCUCCUUAGAGUUGAUAACGAGAGAACUCUCUGUAUCCAUAUCUCUGGGCUCAAUCCUUUCAAGAACAGCAAAAGAGCAUAGAUAAGCUUGAUAGUUGGUUCAAGUUUUUACUUCAUCCACUUCUAGAAGGGGAAAAUAUAUCGCUUGAGUUCUCUAGGAUAACAUUUGACUCCUCAAAUUUAACCUCCAAUAAGAAUAUACUGUCAGAUACAAAUUUAGCUUCAGCAUGAAGAACUCUGGCAUUGGAUUACAGAUCUCUGGGCUCAAUCGUUUCAACAUGAAGAACUCUGAAUUUGGAUUGCUCGUGAGUCGUGACAAUGGGCUGUUAGUUGCAGGUCAAAUCAAGAUUUCUGUAUGAAUUCUCACAGAAAGAUUAACAUAAGAGACGAGCUCAGUUCAAAGAAGAAGCGUAAGUGUAGUAAGUUGUGGCAUUUCAAGUACAAACACAAGACUCGAGACAAAGACGAGCUUGAUACCAGUCACCUAAACCUGUUUUGGGGACAAAGAGAAAUAACCAUGGAAGGACUUGCUUACCCUCAUGAUGAAUCGCUUGGAAGUUAUAAGGAGCUUACACCACUUGUAGAGCAGAUUUCUAGAGAUCCGACUGAAGCUGGAUACAAGUUGUGCUUCUUAAUGUACUCAGCUCACAAAGAAAAUAUUAUGAAUGAGUUUGUAUCCAGUGAUCAUAUACGCUUGAGACUGCUUAUAUGAGGAGCUAUUAAAGAUUUGACGCUCUCAGGACGUGACGUUAAGGAAGUUUCUAAACCAAUAACAACCAAACCAAAAAUGAGCACCAUUACAAAUUUCUUAUCGAACCAGCAAAUCUGUUUUCAUCAGUUGAGUUUUGAAUUGUGUAUAAAAGAAUAAACUAAAUUAAGUAAAAAAUCAUUCUCUAUAAUUUUCGUUUGACUAUAACAUAAGGAAGAUAUUUUUGAAAAAGGUUUUCAUCCUUUAAUAGAAGUUACCUUUUGUGUAUGUUUGGGUUUCUAUAUGUAGUCUGAACAAAGAGGGAUAUGAAAGAAAAAAAAGGCUGAGCAAAGCAAAUAUCAUAGCCAGAAAGUAUCAUCACACCAAAAAAAAAAUCAAAGGACAUAUCACCAUGAAGACUUUAAUCGUAUUUGUUUUUGCUGCUAUGUUCUUCAUAUCCUCGAUCCACUAUGGUGCAACAGCCGCUACUACUCCAAAUUUUAAGGAUAUCGAAUGCUUCAGCGGAACAGAAGCAUGCUUCUAUGGAGGCGACAGAAUCUGCACUGCAUUUUGUAAAGAACAUAAAUUUUUUUAUGGUUUGUGUACUCCUCAUGCAUGCUGUUGUCAUAUCCCAACAGGUUCGAGAUGAAAUGAGCUAAUCAUAUGUUUUGUAAUAUCUAUACAUAUGAUCUCAAUCGAAAUCAAUAAACUCUAUUAAAUCAAA